rnacentral:lncRNA from 1 species
AUAGAGAUCACAGUUAAUUAAUUCAAGAACACGUUUCGAUCGAUGGACGACGGAGCAAUGGCGGCUUAAGAGGAUCCUCCGAACGUGUCGAAGAUGGUGGUGUGGAGCGGGUCGCUGAGGUGGGUGGCCCAGUUGUUGAGCGGGCCCUUGCCGGUGGCGGCGGCCUGCACGGCGAAGCCGAGGAAGGCGACCAUGGCGAGGCGCGCGUGCUUGAUCUCCGCCAGCUGCAGCCGCUCCUUCUUCUCCGGGUCGGCCGCCAGGCCGAGCGGGUCGAAGUAGGAGCCGCCCGGGUAGAGCCUCUUCUCCGGGUCGAGCUCGGCGUUGCGCUGGAACUCGAUGUAGCCGAUCACGAGCACCUCGAUCCAGAUGAGUGUCGAGAUGGAGAAGGGCAGCGGCUGCCCCAGGUAGGACGACCCGUCCACAAGCUCAACCUGCCAGCCAUCAAUAACGUUCAGGUUAGACGCUUGCAUAAGGAUGGAAUGAAACAAUUUUGGUGCACAUAUGUAUAUAUACAUACCUUGCCGGCGUCCUGCCAGGUGACGCCGGUGAGCCACUCGACGGAGAGGGCGCCGAGGGUGGCGAGCAUGGCCCAGCGGCCGUGGAUGAGCUCGCACUCGCGGAAACGCUGGAGGCCGAAGACCUCGCUGUAGGGCUGGAACGGGGUGGACUUGACGUCGGAGGACUCGAAGCGGGUGCCGAUGAUGCCGCCGGCCUCGUUCUUGGCCAGGUUCUGGUCCAGCGAGUCCAGCUCGAACUGCAGGUACUCCACGGGCUUCCCGAGCCCGAACGGGUCGAACCCGUAGUCGCCCACCAGUGACCCGUCGAGGUAGUCGGGCGCCACCGCGCCGGGGAACCAGAGCGGCCGGUCGGAGACCGACGACGUCUUGGCCGCCUUCUUCGGGGCGGCGGUCUUCUUGCCGCCGCCGAACCCGAACCGGGCCACGAUGCGCCCGUUCUGCGGCGCUGGGUCCGCCAGGCGGGUGCCCAGGAAUGUGCUCGCCGCGGCGGCCACCGACGAAGCCAUGGCUGCUGCUCCUCCUCCUCCUCCUGGGUGUGCUGAGAGCGUCAGGUGGUGGUGGUGUGUGGCGUGGAGAGGGCUCGUCCCGGGGUACAAAUAAGAAAGAGUUCCGGUGCUAUCUCCUGCGUGGCAGAUCGGACGGCCCUGGGACGGAUGUGAUCUAUUUGACGGC